UGAGGAAUAUUGGGCAAUGCCCGCAAGGGUGACCCAGCAACGCCGCGUGGAGGAUGAAUGUCGUAAGAUUGUAAACUCCUGUUAGAGGGGGAGAAUAGUACCGGUUGGACCGGUAUAUGACUGUACCCUCAGAGAAAGCCCCGGCUAACUACGUGCCAGCAGCCGCGGUAAUACGUAGGGGGCAAGCGUUGUCCGGAUUUACUGGGUGUAAAGGGCGCGCAGGCGGGAUAAAAAGUCAGUGGUGAAAUCCUACAGCUUAACUGUAGAACUGCCUUUGNUACUUUUAUUCUUGAGUUCGGGAGAGAGAGACGGAAUUCCAGGUGUAGUGGGGAAAUACGUAGAUAUCUGGAAGAACACCAGUUGCGAAGGCGGUCUCUUGGUCCGACACUGACGCUGAGGCGCGAAAGCGUGGGGAGCAAACA
rnacentral:rRNA from 1 species